GUGGAUCGCGGGCGGCUUCGAGCCGCUCGAGGAAAGUCCGAGCUCCACAGGGCUGGGUGCCGGGUAACCCCCGGGCGUCGUAAGGCGACGGAAAGUGCAACAGAGAACAGACCGCCGAUGGGCCCGCGAGGGCACAGGCAAGGGUGAAACGGUGCGGUAAGAGCGCACCGCGCGACCGGUAACGGGAGCGGCAUGGUAAACCCCACCCGGAGCAAGGCCAAAUAGGGGACGAGGGGCUGCCCGCCCCGCCAGAGUCCCGGGUAGGCUGCUCGAGGGUACCGGCAACGGUACUCCCAGAGAAAUGAUCCUC
rnacentral:RNase_P_RNA from 1 species